rnacentral:rRNA from 1 species
GACGAACGCUGGCGGCGUGCUUAACACAUGCAAGUCGAACGGAAAGGCCCUGCUUUUGUGGGGUGCUCGAGUGGCGAACGGGUGAGUAACACGUGAGUAACCUGCCCUUGACUUUGGGAUAACUUCAGGAAACUGGGGCUAAUACCGGAUAGGAGCUCCUGCUGCAUGGUGGGGGUUGGAAAGUUUCGGCGGUUGGGGAUGGACUCGCGGCUGAUCAGCUUGUUGGUGGGGUAGUGGCUUACCAAGGCUUUGACGGGUAGCCGGCCUGAGAGGGUGACCGGCCACAUUGGGACUGAGAUACGGCCCAGACUCCUACGGAAGGCAGCAGUGGGGAAUAUUGCACAAUGGGCGGAAGCCUGAUGCAGCAACGCCGCGUGCGGGAUGACGGCCUUCGGGUUGUAAACCGCUUUCGCCUGUGACGAAGCGUGAGUGACGGUAAUGGAUAAAGAAGCACCGGCUAACUACGUG